UACGGAGGGGGCUAGCGUUGUUCGGAAUUACUGGGCGUAAAGCGCGCGUAGGCGGACCUGCAGGUCGGGGGUGAAAGCCCGAGGCUCAACCUCGGAACUGCCUUCGAUACUGCGGGUCUCGAGUCCGGGAGAGGUGAGUGGAAUUCCUAGUGUAGAGGUGAAAUUCGUAGAUAUUAGGAAGAACACCAGUGGCGAAGGCGGCUCACUGGCCCGGUACUGACGCUGAGGUGCGAAAGCGUGGGGAGCAAACAGG
rnacentral:rRNA from 1 species